UUUUCCUUGCCGUGACCGAAUCAACCUCCUCCUCUGCUAUAAAGAAAGGCCCUGCCCUCACGUUGUUCUCACCAUUAUCUCUCUGUAUCUCCUUUUUCUCGAUUGAUUCUCAGCCAAGCCCCUUGCGAAUUCUUUCAAGAUGCAGAUCUUCGUCAAGACCCUCACCGGCAAGACCAUCACCCUCGAGGUGGAGAGCUCUGACACCAUCGACAACGUUAAGGCCAAGAUCCAGGACAAGGAAGGGAUCCCGCCGGACCAGCAGAGGCUGAUCUUCGCCGGCAAGCAGCUCGAGGACGGCCGUACCUUGGCUGACUACAACAUCCAGAAGGAAUCGACCCUCCACCUUGUGCUCAGGCUCAGGGGAGGCAUGCAGAUCUUCGUCAAGACCCUCACCGGGAAGACAAUCACCUUGGAGGUCGAGAGCUCUGACACCAUCGACAACGUAAAGGCCAAGAUCCAGGACAAGGAAGGAAUUCCCCCGGACCAGCAGAGGCUGAUCUUCGCCGGAAAGCAGCUCGAGGAUGGCCGCACCCUUGCUGACUACAACAUCCAGAAGGAGUCCACCCUUCACCUUGUCCUCCGUCUUCGUGGUGGUAUGCAGAUCUUCGUCAAGACCCUCACCGGCAAGACCAUCACCCUCGAGGUCGAGAGCUCCGACACCAUCGACAACGUCAAGGCCAAGAUCCAGGACAAGGAAGGAAUUCCCCCGGACCAGCAGAGGCUGAUCUUCGCUGGAAAGCAGCUCGAGGACGGCCGUACCCUCGCCGACUACAACAUCCAGAAGGAGUCUACCCUCCAUCUUGUCCUCCGUCUUCGUGGAGGUAUGCAGAUCUUCGUCAAGACCCUGACUGGCAAGACCAUCACCCUCGAGGUCGAGAGCUCCGAUACCAUUGACAACGUCAAGGCCAAGAUCCAGGACAAGGAAGGAAUUCCCCCGGACCAGCAGAGGCUGAUCUUCGCUGGAAAGCAGCUCGAGGACGGCCGUACCCUCGCCGACUACAACAUCCAGAAGGAGUCCACCCUCCACCUUGUCCUGCGUCUCCGUGGAGGUAUGCAGAUCUUUGUCAAGACCCUGACCGGCAAGACCAUUACCCUCGAGGUUGAGAGCUCCGACACCAUCGACAACGUGAAGGCCAAGAUCCAGGACAAGGAGGGCAUCCCCCAGACCAGCAGAGGCUGAUCUUCGCCGGAAAGCAGCUCGAGGACGGCCGCACCCUCGCUGACUACAACAUCCAGAAGGAGUCCACCCUCCACCUUGUGCUGAGGCUCAGGGGAGGCAUGCAGAUCUUCGUCAAGACCCUCACCGGCAAGACCAUCACCCUGGAGGUGGAGAGCUCCGACACCAUCGACAACGUGAAGGCCAAGAUCCAGGACAAGGAGGGCAUCCCCCCGGACCAGCAGAGGCUGAUCUUCGCCGGCAAGCAGCUGGAGGACGGCCGCACCCUGGCGGAUUACAACAUCCAGAAGGAGUCGACCCUUCACCUCGUGCUCCGUCUUCGUGGUGGAUUCUAAGUGGUUGUGUCUGCUUGAAAGUUGGUCGUCUCUAUGGACGAGGGUUGUUAUGAAUGAAUUUCUUUGACAGUGUUUAUGUGAAAUCGGGGCCGAUGGGUUCCCGAUCGUCUGGGGCUUGUGAAUCAAUCCUUAGUUUCAAUUGAAUAAAAUGGUUAUUUAAUCCUA